AUUGAACGCUGGCGGCAUGCUUUACACAUGCAAGUCGAACGGUAACAGGUUAAGCUGACGAGUGGCGAACGGGUGAGUAAUGCAUCGGAACGUGCCCGGUCGUGGGGGAUAACGCAGCGAAAGCUGCGCUAAUACCGCAUCCGAUCUGAGGAUGUAAGCGGGGGACCGUAAGGCCUCGCGCGAUCGGAGUGGCCUAUGUCAGAUUAGGUAGUUGGUGGGGUAAAGGCUCACCAAGCCGACGAUCUGUAGCUGGUCUGAGAGGACGACCAGCCACACUGGGACUGAGACACGGCCCAGACUCCUACGGGAGGCAGCAGUGGGGAAUUUUGGACAAUGGGCGCAAGCCUGAUCCAGCAAUGCCGCGUGCAGGAAGAAGGCCUUCGGGUUGUAAACUGCUUUUGUACGGAGCGAAAAGGCUCUCUCUAAUACAGGGGGCUCAUGGCGGUACCGUAAGAAUAAGCACCGGCUAACUACGUGCCAGCAGCCGCCGUAA
rnacentral:rRNA from 1 species